rnacentral:SRP_RNA from 1 species
GGGAGGACUCUGCCGGGAAGCUAGCACUCUCCUGUCAGCGCAAAUGUGCUUCAGGCGCGGUGAAGCUUUGGGAGCAGCCAAAGUUGUUGCAACUUAGUCUUGCUGCUGGCGUCGAAGCUCUGCCUUAUGGGACUGGUGCUUUUGAAAAUCCGUAAGGUUCGGAAGAAAGCAGCGGUAAUCUUUGGCAUUGGUGCUUAUGAGCCACAGAGUGGAGCUUGAAGCAAGGUAGCUAACUGCAAUGGCUUUUGCCCAUUCUUGAGCAUGUCCUCCU